rnacentral:lncRNA from 10 species
CCAAAGUGCUGAGAUUACAGGCAUGAGCCACCGCACCCGGCCAACACUUUCUUAAUGACAGUAUGCCUUUGUUAGCAUAAACCACAGUUGAUAAAAUCAUUAUCUGUUUAUUUCAUUUUCCCUAUACAAGAAGAACCUGAAAAUGAAGCUUCUGUUAGACCACUUAAUCAUCUUAUUUUUGAGUUUUCCUGUUGUUCUUGAUUCUACCCAUCCAUGGUACUUCUAAAGGACAGGGAAAUGGACCACCCCAAACUGAUGUACAUUGGUUCUGCUCAUCACACUUGGGGGUCUCAACAGGCUGAUCUGUGUUAUCAGCAAGUCUGCUGAUACUUAUCAGGGACUUGCUACAGAGACCUGGUGCUUGACUCUGGAAGAAAAUCAGCAUCAGCAAUGUCUUCAGUGCCUGUGGAGGAUAAAUUAUAUGUGUACACCUUAAUAGAUAAUCUCCACAUCCCUGUGACACACUGCAACCUCCAGGGACCUUAGCAAUGCCGAUGUUCUACCCAGGUUUUGCAGGAUGGCUGCCUGGUCCUCAGAGUUUGCUUACAUAGGAGGUGAACUCAACUCAGCACGCACAGUUAUGUGGGGCGAGCAUCUUACAGGAUGCAGGCUACGCAAGCCUUUUUUUCUACCAGCCAACCAAUUAAACGCUGACAAUACUGAUUCAAUGUUUC